AACGAACGCUGGCGGCGUGCCUAACACAUGCAAGUCGAGCGUGAAAGUUCCUUCGGGAAUGAGUAAAGCGGCAGACGGGUGAGUAAUACAUAGGUAAUCUACCUUCGAGCUUGGGAUAACCCCGCGAAAGUGGAGCUAAUACCGGAUAAGACCACGUGGCAUACGCUACGGGGUAGAAGGUGGCUUGUAUUUAUAUGAGCUAUCACUUGAGGAUGAGUCCAUGGCCUAUCAGCUUGUUGGUGAGGUAAGAGCUCACCAAGGCUAUGACGGGUAGCUGGUCUGAGAGGACGACCAGCCACACUGGGACUGAGACACGGCCCAGACUCCUACGGGAGGCAG
rnacentral:rRNA from 1 species